rnacentral:rRNA from 1 species
AGAAUUUAAAUGGUGGACAGACCAACCAUCGAAGACUUCUGCAUCUUCAGGAUAUUCUGAUUCAACAUCGAGGUCACAAACCUUUUUUUCAAUAAGAACUCUCAAAAAAGAUAAUGCUGUUAUCCCUACGGUAACUAUUUCCUUUAAUCAAUAAAACUGGAUCAAUACCCGUAAGCCUUUAAAUUUAAAGGAAGCUUUUUUUGUUCCUUAGUCGCCCCAACCAAAAAUUCUUUAUGGAAAUUUAUUUAUAAAUAUAAACUUUAACCCACAAAAAUUUUUAUAAGCUCGAUAGGGUCUUCUUGUCUAAUAAUAAAAAUUAGGCCUUUUCACCUAAAAGUAAAAUUCUACUAAAUUAAAAAGAGACAGUAUUACUUUCGUCAAACCAUUCAUUCCAGUCCCCAAUUAUAGGACAAAUUAUUAUGCUACCUUCGCACGGUCAGAGUACCGCGGCCGUUAAAUUUAUAUAUCACUGGGCAGGUAAGACUCCUUAUAUUAUUUUAUCAAAGAGCC